rnacentral:rRNA from 1 species
UUGAACGCUGGCGGCAUGCCUUACACAUGCAAGUCGAACGGCAGCACGGGUGCUUGCCCCUGGUGGCGCGUGGCGAACGGGUGAGUAAUACAUCGGAACAUGUCCUGUAGUGGGGGAUAGCCCGGCGAAAGCCGGAUUAAUACCGCAUACGAUCUACGGAUGAAAGCGGGGGACCUUCGGGCCUCGCGCUAUAGGGUUGGCCGAUGGCUGAUUAGCUAGUUGGUGGGGUAAAGGCCUACCAAGGCGACGAUCAGUAGCUGGUCUGAGAGGACGACCAGCCACACUGGAACUGAGACACGGCCCAGACUCCUACGGGAGGCAGCAGUGGGGAAUUUUGGACAAUGGGCGAAAGCCUGAUCCAGCAAUGCCGCGUGUGUGAAGAAGGCCUUCGGGUUGUAAAGCACUUUUGUCCGGAAAGAAAUCCUUGGCCCUAAUACGGUCGGGGGAUGACGGUACCGGAAGAAUAAGCACCGGCUAACUACGUG